GACGAACGCUGGCGGCAGGCCUAACACAUGCAAGUCGAGCGAGCGGCGGACGGGUGAGUAAUGUCGGGGAAACUGCCUGAUGGAGGGUUAUAACUCCUGUCCCCGGUCUCUAAUACCUCAUCCCCUCACCUUUUCCCCUCUGGGAUGAGCUAGUAGGUGUUGUAACGGCUCACCUAGGCGACGAUCCCUCCCUGGUCUGAUAGGAUGACCAGCCACACUGGAACUGAGACACGUGCCAGACUCCUACGGGAGGCAGCAGUGGGGAAUAUUGCACAAUGGGCGCAAGCCGGAUGCAGCCAUGCCGCGUGUGUGAAGAAGGCCUUCGGGUUGUAAAGCACUUUCAGCGGGGAGGCGGGACACGAAGAAGAAGAACCGGCUAACUCCGUGCCAGCAGCCGCGGUAAGGC
rnacentral:rRNA from 1 species